rnacentral:tRNA from 1 species
GAGUAUAUAGCUUAGUGGUGGAGCACACACUUAGCUUGCAUGAGGCCCUGGGUUCAAUUCCCAGUACCUCCA